rnacentral:lncRNA from 1 species
GGAAGUUUGACAAUUUAAUAACAUAUGGAAGAGAGAAGAGACUUUUCAACAUAAGUAGAUAAAAUGGCAAUUGGAUUCAGCACAACAUUGUGUACACCUGCUUGUCCUUUUUUCCCUUCCACCGGACUUAUUCAUCUGUGUAUGCUGUGAGGUCUUUUUUGCAUUUUUUUUCUGGGGGAAAAAGGUUAACAUUGUUACCUUUGUUCAUGUUUUGGUUGUAUUGAAUGCAGUCUCUUCAAUGUAUUAUUGAGUAUCCUUUUUUUCCUGUUCUGGCCUCUAUUUGAUAUUACUUUAGGCGUUCGUUUGGGAGUUUAGGAAAAGAGGGGGGGGAACGUUAUGAAAGAAGAGGAGAGAAGAGAAGGGAUUGUUAUGUUGUUUAGGGGUUUUGAGAAUUAGUGGAAUGAUUUUGGAUAUGAAAGUCAUUAAAUAUUUGUUCAAGACAUUUUUAAGGAUAAAAUAGGUAUUUUAAAAAAUUUUCACAAGCUUCCUCCAACUUUCUCUCCAAUUUGGGAGGAAAAAUUUUGCCUUCUAUUCAUCCUCUCAUUUCCUUUCUUUUCUCUCUUACUAAAAACUUACAAACAAAAGAACUUUCUCUUCUUUUCCUUUCUUUUCUGUCCAAAUCCUCAACUCCCAAAUGAACCCUUAAUUUUGCUAUGCUUUUUCCCUCUUUCUUGAAUUCUCUAUGCAUUUAUAGUGCACAUGGCUUCAUCUCUUUUUCCCCAUUUUCAUUUCUUGACCUGUUUUCUCUUUCCUUUAGUUGUUAGAUGGAUGUAAAGGCAUUGAGUAUAUUUGAGGUCCACAGUUCUUUGCUACGAUGGACUAUUAUCCAAGUUAUUGAGGGCUCACAUCUCAAAACUACUGAUGCAGAAUGUGCCACAAAAGUGUAUUGUCGCUUCGUGUUUGAUGAUGCGCAUGUGCGUUUAGCUUUUUGCCCCUUGUAUUGUCAUAGUUUACUCUGUGGUCCUUUUGUUUGCUUGAAGUAUUAGUUGUGAUUUCAGUAAUAUAUUCCGUGUUAAUGCCUCGGGGUUUUGGAAUGAAAAAGUUAUACUAUUUUUUAGCCAACUGUACACGUUGUAUGGUGAAUUUGAGCGCCUGGUUUAUCCUUUUUUCCAUUUUUUUGGGGGGAAAAGGCUAACAUUGUUACCGUUGUUCAUGUUUGGUUGUAUUGAAUGCAGUUUCUUCAAUGUAUUGAGUAUCCUUGUUUUCUGUUCUGGCCCCUCUAUUUGCCAUUACUUUACUUUUUUUCCUUCUUUUUUCUCACUGGUUUCCUUUUUUCAUACGAGUAGUUGUUUUGUUUCUGAGCUGAUAUUGUGACAAACUAACUCUUGUCUUUUGGUUGACUGAUUUGUAAUAGAUAUGAUAGGAGUUGUUUUAUAUGCUUUACCAGUGAGAAAGGCGCUUUUAGACGGUGACGGUGUUUCUGUUAUUGCUAGAGAUUAUGUCAUUGAUCAAAGGUGAUUUCCGGUGCUUGGAUCCUUCCGUGUUGCUUUUGUUGGCCGCUGCAUUUUUCAAGAUUGCUGACACCUUGUUGUUUAUGUUUGUUGCUAUGGUAAGAAACCUGUUCUGUGAUUUUUUUCUGCGAUUUUUGAGACUGAAGUGGGAUGGACCAUAGUAGAUGCAAUGGGGUCUGUUGAGUCCAAUCCAGUUAUUAUUGGUAUUAGACACAGAGUGAAGCCUGAUAAUUGUGAGAUCUGUUUCUAUGUAUAUUCAUGGUUCCUUAGUUAAUUUGUGUUAGGCUGUUGUGUUACAGGUCUCUGUGCUAUCAUUUUUUCUUGGCACUUGUCCCUUCUGCACUUUAAAUCAUGGAUUGUUUGCUAAGUCAUAUCAAGCUAGAAUGUUAUAUGGAUCUUUUGAAAGGUGACAUAUUUAUUAGGCAUUCUGAUGGAAGGUGAACCUCCCUUUCUUCAACUAAUAUCCUUGAAUUCUUUUCCCUCGUCCCGGGAAAUAAUGGUUUUUUUUUUUGCCUUUUUUGGUAGUAGAGGAAGGUGCUAAAUAAAGAAGACAGAAUUCAGAACAAGAAUCCUAAUUAUUACAGUUCGGAUGAACGAAACGAGGAAAACAGACCUCUCUUAUAGUUUAGAUGGAUUAGUGCUUAUCAACCAUUGAACUCACUAACUCAUUGCGUGUUGAUCUGGAUGGCGAAUAUUUUUUUGCUUAAUAUUGCAUUAAAUAGUGCGAUCCAGGCUUGAAUUUGCUUAUACCAAAUUAGGAAUUCACCAAAUUAGGAAUUCAAUGGUUGAUAAGUACUACUCCCUCCGUCCCACUUUGAUAGUCUUGUUUUCCUUUUUCGUCUGUCCCAAAUUGUAGUCCACUUUCCCAUUAAGAAAUGUAGUAAUCUUUCAAAUUAUCUAAAAUACCCUUAUUAAAUAUCUUGUUAUUAAUACAUUGUUAUUAAAUACUAACCCACUACAUUGGAUAUAUUGAGUUUUUCCAAUACUAACUCAUUAGCUGUAACUGAUAUUAAUUGGCACUCUUCGUGAUUAGCAUAAGGGUAUUUUAGAAAAUUAUUAAUCUAAAUUUAUGUUUCCAACCAAAUUAAUUACACUUUCUUAAUCUGUGUGAAAAAAAAAAAUCAAGACUAACAAAACGGGACGGAGGGAGUAAUUCAUUGAUCUCCAAGGAAAAAACAUCAAGGACAUGGGAUAGAAUCUGAAACCUUUUUUCCAGACAAUGCCUAUAUAAGAUUGCGCGGUCUAAAAAUAUAUUGACAUCGCCUAGGAUUGCUUUGCUGCCCGUGAGCUUCCCCACUAUGUUUUCAUUUUCUCUCUUCAUUUGCUAAUCAAUUUAAUAAUGCCAAUUUCAUCAAUUAAACAAUUUAAGAAAAGGUUCAACUAGCUACCCUACCAAUCAAAAGAAUUAUUUUCAUCACCUUAAAAAUAGCAAAGCAGCAAAGGCUGCAUGUUAGAGGUUUCCCAAAAAAACAUCCGGUAAAAGUUGUUAUACAAAAAGCAUAAACUAACCAUUCAUCGCAUCACUCCAAAAUAUCAUGCUCAAAUUUGUACGGCUCCAUAACCUUCAUUAUAAGACCAAAUAGAAGGAAAUUUUAAAAAAAAUGUGCAGAAGGGUGUCAAAUACAUGCAAAAUAAAUAUGGUCCUUAAGUAUAUAGGCAUUUUUUUAUAUAUUAUUUUCAGCUAUUAAUCUUGAGUUUUAAAUGAAUAGGCUUUUUCUCAUACAAAAUUUGAUUGGGCUGCUUAAUCAUGAAUCUGUCCAAAUCCUCAACUCCCAAAUGAACCCUUAAUUUUGCUAUGCUUUUUCCCUCUUUCUUGAAUUCUCUAUGCAUUUAUAGUGCACAUGGCUUCAUCUCUUUUUCCCCAUUUUCAUUUCUUGACCUGUUUUCUCUUUCCUUUAGUUGUUAGAUGGAUGUAAAGGCAUUGAGUAUAUUUGAGGUCCACAGUUCUUUGCUACGAUGGACUAUUAUCCAAGUUAUUGAGGGCUCACAUCUCAAAACUACUGAUGCAGAAUGUGCCACAAAAGUGUAUUGUCGCUUCGUGUUUGAUGAUGCGCAUGUGCGUUUAGCUUUUUGCCCCUUGUAUUGUCAUAGUUUACUCUGUGGUCCUUUUGUUUGCUUGAAGUAUUAGUUGUGAUUUCAGUAAUAUAUUCCGUGUUAAUGCCUCGGGGUUUUGGAAUGAAAAAGUUAUACUAUUUUUUAGCCAACUGUACACGUUGUAUGGUGAAUUUGAGCGCCUGGUUUAUCCUUUUUUCCAUUUUUUUGGGGGGAAAAGGCUAACAUUGUUACCGUUGUUCAUGUUUGGUUGUAUUGAAUGCAGUUUCUUCAAUGUAUUGAGUAUCCUUGUUUUCUGUUCUGGCCCCUCUAUUUGCCAUUACUUUACUUUUUUUCCUUCUUUUUUCUCACUGGUUUCCUUUUUUCAUACGAGUAGUUGUUUUGUUUCUGAGCUGAUAUUGUGACAAACUAACUCUUGUCUUUUGGUUGACUGAUUUGUAAUAGAUAUGAUAGGAGUUGUUUUAUAUGCUUUACCAGUGAGAAAGGCGCUUUUAGACGGUGACGGUGUUUCUGUUAUUGCUAGAGAUUAUGUCAUUGAUCAAAGG